rnacentral:piRNA from 1 species
UUGGCUCUGCAGGGAAUGCACUGUUAGAGUC